ensembl:piRNA 21ur-724 ncRNA
UUAAGCAAUUGCAGGUAAUAG